rnacentral:rRNA from 1 species
UGGGGAAUAUUGGACAAUGGGGGCAACCCUGAUCCAGCCAUGCCGCGUGAGUGAAGAAGGCCUUCGGGUUGUAAAGCUCUUUCGGCGGGGACGAUGAUGACGGUACCCGCAUAAGAAGCCCCGGCAAACUUCGUGCCAGCAGCCGCGGUAAUACGAAGGGGGCUAGCGUUGUUCGGAAUUACUGGGCGUAAAGCGCGCGUAGGCGGUAAACCAUGUCAGGGGUGAAAUCCCGGGGCUCAACUCCGGAAUUGCCUUUGAAACGGGUUUGCUAGAGUCCGAGAGAGGAUGGCGGAAUUCCUAGUGUAGAGGUGAAAUUCGUAGAUAUUAGGAAGAACACCGGUGGCGAAGGCGGCCAUCUGGCUCGGUACUGACGCUCAGGCGCGAAAGCGUGGGGAGCAAACAG